rnacentral:rRNA from 1 species
AGGGUUUGAUUCUGGCUCAGGACGAACGCUGGCGGCGUGCUUAACACAUGCAAGUCGAACGCUGAAGCCCAGCUUGCUGGGUGGAUGAGUGGCGAACGGGUGAGUAACACGUGAGUAACCUGCCCCCUUCUUUGGGAUAACGCCCGGAAACGGGUGCUAAUACUGGAUAUUCACUGGCCUUCGCAUGGGGGUUGGUGGAAAGGUUUUUUCUGGUGGGGGAUGGGCUCGCGGCCUAUCAGCUUGUUGGUGGGGUGAUGGCCUACCAAGGCUUUGACGGGUAGCCGGCCUGAGAGGGUGACCGGUCACAUUGGGACUGAGAUACGGCCCAG